AUUCUGCUUAAUACAAUUAGAGAGCUUUCUCUCUUUUCUCUCUAUUUUACUUCAUCUUCAAGCUUUGUCUUCUAGCUUUCAUGGUAUCAGGAGCCCAGGCUGCGACCUUGAUAAGUUCUUUCUUUGAUUCUGAAGAUGUUCUAGUCCAAUUUUUGAUGAAGUUUAUGUGAUUUUGCUGCAAAUUCAUACUUGUUCUUGCAUCGAAGCUGUGGUUUUUCAUCCUGAGUAUGUUGAUAUAAGUAAUCUUGAAAGUAGUUGUUAGAUUCUUCCAGAUCUAUAAUUCCUCUUUAAGUCGAAACCCUAACUUUGCAAUUCAAGCUGUAAUUCUUGCUAUUACACUUGUCUACACUUAGAUCUAUACCUUGAAACCCUAGUUUUUGCAUUCUAUAGCCAUGACC
rnacentral:lncRNA from 1 species